AGUCGAGUAUCAUUGUUGAUAGGACAACUGUAGCAUCCCCGAAUCCGGGUUCCAAAUCGCUGCGGAUCCGGUAUACUAAUUCUAUCACUAUUGCGGAAGAUAUAAACAUAGAUUGUUUAUACAUUAAACUUUAUACACAUUUCCCAAAAUCGAGUAACCUUAACUAAUACACAAUCGUGACUGUCUAACACAUGACAAUACUAUUCUUCAACGUACUUUACAACUUAACUUCACAUUCUAUCCCAAGCUGAACUUGGCAUUAUCCUUUUCCUGUAACUGGCCGUAUUCUCCUUAUCUGCAAUGUUUUAUCAUGAUAUAGCAAGGGUGAG
rnacentral:lncRNA from 1 species